UAUUAACUCUGGCGGCGUGCCUAAUACAUGCCAGUCGAGCGAACAGAUGAGGAGCUUGCUCCUCUGACGUUAGCGGCGGACGGGUGAGUAACACGUGGAUAACCUACCUAUAAGACUGGGAUAACUUCGGGAAACCGGAGCUAAUACCGGAUAAUAUAUUGAACCGCAUGGUUCAAUAGUGAAAGACGGUUUUGCUGUCACUUAUAGAUGGAUCCGCGCCGCAUUAGCUAGUUGGUAAGGUAACGGCUUACCAAGGCAACGAUGCGUAGCCGACCUGAGAGGGUGAUCGGCCACACUGGAACUGAGACACGGUCCAGACUCCUACGGGAGGCAGCAGUAGGGAAUCUUCCGCAAUGGGCGAAAGCCUGACGGAGCAACGCCGCGUGAGUGAUGAAGGUCUUCGGAUCGUAAAACUCUGUUAUUAGGGAAGAACAAAUGUGUAAGUAACUAUGCACGUCUUGACGGUACCUAAUCAGAAAGCCACGGCUAACUACGUG
rnacentral:rRNA from 1 species